ACACCAGUGGUGAAACGGUUAUCAUGCUUGCCUUCCAUUUCUAACAGAUUUCUGAGAUGUGCGCUUAGCAAGCGGCGGGGGUUCGACUCCCUCCUGGUGUA